CUUAUUUUGCGCAGCUUAGGUGGGAGGCUAUGAACCUUUUCUUCUGGGAAGAGGGGAGCCAUCAGUGAGAUACCACUCUUGGUAAGCUAGAGCGCUCAGUCUUCACCGUCAUCCGAUAAGACGACAGUUUCAGGCGGGCAGUUUGACUGGGGCAGUCACCUCCCAAAAGGUAAUGGAGGUGCACAAAGGUUCCCUCAGGUUGGACGGAAAUCAACCAUAGAGUGUAAAAGCAUAAGGGAGCUUGACUGCGAGACUGACAUGUCAAGCAGAGACGAAAGUCGGUUUUAGUGAUCCGACGGUGCUGCGUGGAAAGGCCGUCGCUCAACGGAUAAAAGUUACUCUAGGGAUAAC
rnacentral:rRNA from 1 species